UAAUUUUGGUUUAUAAAUUUAUUAAAUUAAUUAGAUUUAUGUAAAUUUUUGUAAUUUUUUUUAUUUUAAAAAUAAAAAUUAAAUAUUAGUCAGAAUUUAAUUUUAAAAAUUUAAGAAAUUAAUAUUUAGAAAUUAAUUAUAAUAUAGACAAAUUUUGUGCCAGCAGUUGCGGUUAUACAAUUUAUAUAAGUAAAUUUAUAUAAAAAUAUAAUUAAUUGAUUAUAGGUUUAAUUAAUUUUUUAUAUAUAUGGUGAAAUAUUAUAUAGAAAAUAAAUUAAUAAUUAUUUAUUUAAUAUUAUGAAAUUUUUAAAUAAACUAGGAUUAGAUACCCUAUUAUUUUAAAUGUAAAUAUAAAUUUUAAGUUAUUAAUAGUUAUGUUCUUUAAAACUAAAAAAUUUGGCGGUAUAUUAGUCUAUUCAGAGGAACCUGUUCAUUAAUUGAUAGUCCACAUUUAGAGUUACUUAAUUUAAUAAAUUUGUAUAUCGUUGUUUAUAAAAAAUUUUAUUAGAAUAAAAAUUUUUAAUAUUUAUAAUUAUAAAUAAUAUCAGAUCAUGGUGCAGUUAAUAAUUAAGAAGAAAUGGGUUACAAUAAAAUUAUUUAUAUGGAUUAUAAGUUUAAAAUUUAUAUAAAAGUGGAUUUGAUAGUAAAAUUAUUGAUUUAAAUAUUUUGAUUAUAGCUCUAAAAUAUGUACAUAUUGCCCGUCGCUCUUACUAUAAAGUAGGAUAAGUCGUAACAAAGUAGAUGUAUUGGAAAAUGUAUCUAGAAUUAU
rnacentral:ncRNA from 1 species